UUGGGGAUGAAGGCACAGAAAAGUAUACGCCAAUUGUGACAGAGAAAAUGUUUGCGGAUGCAGCGACCAGCUAGUGCUCCCGCCAGUUAAACGAAACAAACUGAAUAGACCAACAAGUGCUGCGUCCACCAUGUCCUAUUACGUAGAGGGCGGCCAUUUUCUGGAAAAACCAUCACAUAUUUCUGUGGCAAAAGGAUAAAGUCUCAGUACCGCAAGCAGCCGCACACGAUUAGGGUCACAGCCUUCAGAAAUGGGAGCAGGGAACCAUUUGUUAGACUGGCAGCUCCAAAUAUUAAGAUGCUGUUGGAGUACUGCACAGACAAGCUGAGCUUGCCAUUUGCAGGCAAGACGGGUCUUUUUGGAAGAUGGGCAUUGAGGUCUUUAGCGAGAAAGACAUUCCACUUGAUAGUGAGGUGUACAUUUCCACGGGCGAGAACUAAUAAAGACCCUUAUGCGACCACCAA